rnacentral:lncRNA from 1 species
AUGAAGGUUCAGCUCGUGAUCCUGCUCUUGGCUCUCGUGGUCCUGCUGCAAGUGACACGAAAUGAGGCCUCUGACGGCGGUGAUGACAGUCAGGUGAUUCCAGAAGACGAGAUGCUGAGGGAGAUCUUUGCGGGUGAUGCAGACGUCUCGGGGGAGGACACACCUGUCGGCGCCGGAGGUCAGUUUUUAGUCAUGCGAGCCUUUUUCUGCCCCUGUAUUUUUUACUUCCUGUAUUUCGCGUUUCACUUCACGUGUCGCUGCUGCACCUCUGGAUAUUUUCAGACUUCAUGCCUCCACUUAUUUUCUUGUGAUGGUACAAGCUGUGUGGAUAUGUGAUUCUGACCUGGACACACACACACACACACACACACACACACACACACACACACACACACAUAAUAACUUGUUUGUGGGAAAAGUAGUUACUACAACAUAAAGUUUAUGACAGAGUGAGCUUGGGUGAAGUUGGUCUCACAAAAUUAUCAUAAACUGUCCAUCAAUCCCGACUUUCAUGAAUAUGAUUCUAAUUACCUAAACUCACAGAUUAUCUGACUUUUACAACCUCGUCAGCUCGUGAAGAUACAUAUCCGACCUGUAGCAUUCAGAUACAAAGCGUGACACAUUUAUGAAUCCAGAAUGUUAUAUUCUCAGCAUGGCAUCAAAUAUUUUUUGUGAGAGUUUAAUAUAACGCUUUUUCAACAGUGUGUUGUCGCUGCGUUGAGGUUACCCGUUAAUAUUUAUCUAUUUACUAAAUGUUCAACAUUUCUUCUGCAGGAGAAGACGUUCCCACAUGACACUGGUUUGAAGACCUCGUCCUCGAAACUGUUUGAGCCAAGACAUGUUGAAUAAAUAAAGAUAUUAAAUAAAUACAUAUCCCUGUGUCAAUGUGGUUUAAUGCUUGGACGAAGGGUGCAACAGUUUUGGAAAACUUCUGUACAUGUGUGUAUAUAGAGUAUGGUAUUGUAUUGCUAAGUUGUAGCCAAAGCAUCAUGAUCGCCCCCUGGUGUCUGGCUGCUGCAUUGCCCCGCCCCCUCCUUAUAAUUCUAAAGAUGGUUUCUGUCUUACUGUACUACAUUGAUGUACGUUCAAGUGAUCCUGUCUCUGGUAAGUUUGGUUUUUAUUAGUUAUUUGAUGAUAUAAGAAAUAGGGUUAAACAUCAUGAUUGACAGCUGAGACUCGCGAUUAAUGUCGUGGCUUCAUUUUUUAUACCGCGAGAGAAAGUGGAGACACGUCGUCCAUCUUUAUAUAUAUAAAUUUGGUUUGGUUUCAUAUGCUUUUUGGAGCUCGACUUGACUUCAAAAGAAAUUAGCUAUAUACAAUUUUUUUCAAAACAUUUUUUAUAUUUUAAUUCACAAAUCAAUGAAUGAAAAAACACAUUUUGGAGGGAAGUCACAAAUUCUAAAAUUUUUAAGGAAUCAAAAACUAAAUUUUAACUGAACAUUUAAAUAAGCUUGGAACUUUCCAUAAAUGUCCGCCUUAUUAUUCUUUUCAAUUUUAUUCGAAUGUAUGUAACAUGGCUGUAUCAUUUCAUAUUUUUACAUUUACUAUUUACUCAUAAUGAUACAUGAAAGGAGUCCUGGGAUAUAAAAACUACCUUUCUCUAUUUUAUUAUUGUUAUUAUUAUUAUUAUUAUUAUUAUUAUUAUUAUUAUUUCAUAAUCCCCUGAACUCCUCAUGAAUUUCACCACGUCGCCCUCUAGUGGCUCAGAAGUGCCGGUGCACGUGGAGGAUGAAUCCACAGAGAAAGUCCAAGUUGAAUCUCAGUUCCCA